GGAAUUUUGGACAAUGGGGGAAACCCUGAUCCAGCCAUGCCGCGUGCGGGAAGAAGGCCUUCGGGUUGUAAACCGCUUUUGUCAGGGAAGAAAUCCCUUGGGCUAAUAUCCUGAGGGGAUGACGGUACCUGAAGAAUAAGCACCGGCUAACUACGUGCCAGCAGCCGCGGUAAUACGUAGGGUGCGAGCGUUAAUCGGAAUUACUGGGCGUAAAGCGUGCGCAGGCGGUCGUGCAAGACAGAUGUGAAAUCCCCGGGCUCAACCUGGGAACUGCAUUUGUGACUGCACGGCUGGAGUGCGGCAGAGGGGGAUGGAAUUCCGCGUGUAGCAGUGAAAUGCGUAGAUAUGCGGAGGAACACCGAUGGCGAAGGCAAUCCCCUGGGCCUGCACUGACGCUCAUGCACGAAAGCGUGGGGAGCAAAC
rnacentral:rRNA from 1 species